rnacentral:rRNA from 1 species
GACGGAGGAUGCAAGUGUUAUCCGGAAUCACUGGGCGUAAAGCGUCUGUAGGUGGUUUAAUAAGUCAACUGUUAAAUCUUGAGGCUCAACCUCAAAAUCGCAGUCGAAACUAUUAGGCUAGAGUAUAGUAGGGGUAAAGGGAAUUUCCAGUGGAGCGGUGAAAUGCGUAGAGAUUGGAAAGAACACCGAGGGCGAAGGCACUUUACUGGGCUAUUACUAACACUCAGAGACGAAAGCUAGGGUAGCAAAUGGG